CGGCAUGCCUAACACAUGCAAGUCGAACGGCUCUUCGGAGCAGUGGCGCACGGGUGAGUAACGCGUGGGAACCUACCCUGAGGUUCGGAAUAACGGCUGGAAACGGCCGCUAAUACCGGAUGUGUCCUAUGGGGCAAAGGCUUGCCGCCUUGGGAGGGGCCCGCGUCCGAUUAGCUUGUUGGUGAGGUAACGGCUCACCAAGGCGACGAUCGGUAGCUGGUCUGAGAGGAUGAUCAGCCACACUGGGACUGAGACACGGCCCAGACUCC
rnacentral:rRNA from 2 species